CUUUGAUUCAGACGCUUCCUUUGCCACUUCCAAACAUGCACACACAACUCAGGCAUGCAUGACACACCUGCAGCUCCUAGAAGGUCUAAUACUCUCCCACGUGUUCUUACCCUUGGUCCUAUGUAUACUCUCAUGAGUGAUAGAUCAGGAUGAAGACUUUCAGAUAUGGAGUCUUGCUCUGUUGUCAGGCUGGAGUACAGUGGCAUGAUCUUGGCUCGCGGCAACCUCCACCUCUCAGUUCAAGCAAUUCUCCUGUCUCAGCCUCCGGAGUAGCCAGGAUUACAGGUCCUAAGAAUGGAAUUCAGGAGUGGACAAGACAUAACUUUUGCCAUGAAGCAUCUCAUCACACAGUAGAUGGAGUCUUGCUCUGCCACCCAGGCUAG
rnacentral:lncRNA from 13 species